CCUUUACCCAAUGCUCCACAGUGAGAACUCCUCUCUCAGUUUUAUUAAGAUACAAUUGACAUACAGCAUUGUAUUUUUAAGGUGUACCGCAUAAUGAUUUGAUUUACAUACAUCUUGAAAUGAUUAUCACAAUAAAUUUAGUGAACAUCUAUAAUCUCAUAUAGAUACAAAAUUUUAAAAAAUAGAAAAAAAUUUUCUGUGUGUGAUAACUCUCAGGAUUUACUCUCAUAACAACUUUCACAUAUAACAUACAACAGUGUUUGUAUAUUAUAUGUGAAAUUAUACUUAUGUUGUACAUUACAUUCCUAGUUCUUAUUUACCUUAAAACUUAUUACUCUAUUAAUUCUUGACUAUGUUAUUCACUAUCUUUACUCUUAAAAAGAUACUGCAAGAUAGGCUGGUUUUGAUUUUUUCCUUUGUAGCACAGCAGGUGAAGGAUCUGGCAGUCACUACAGCAGCUCAGGUUGCUGCUGUGAGGUGGGUUUGAUCCCUGGCCUGGGAACUUCCACAUGCUGCGGGGGCAGCCAAACUAUUAAAAAAAAAAAAAAAGAGAGGAUGGUUUUUCUGGUGCACUGUAAAUAGUGUAGAAAUGAUAAUAGUAUACUUUUUUAAAAAAAAUUCUCGAUACUCAAACCAAAAUGUAUUUUUUAAAAAUCAAAGCACUUUUAGUCAAAAUAAAAAUCCAUUGUCUGAAAUUUUCUGUAUAUGUAAAACAUCAUGUUAUCCCAAUUUUAUUAUUUUAUUUUAAAACUGCAUAUAAUUUGGUCCAUGACUGGCUAGAAUUUCAGGAACCAGAGUCACAUCUAGAUAUAUCUUUACUAAAAAUUACAGGAUUUCAAAAAUACCCAGCACUAGUGAUAACCGUCAUAUAAAAUAAUUCCAAGACAAGCACAAAAUUAAUUAAUAUGCUAUUUACUGGCUAUUUACUGUGCAUGACGUGUUAUUUUGUGGGUUUUGGCUUCAAAUUUCAAGUUAAUGCACACAAAUUUCCAAAGCACCUGAUAAAUUUAGACUCAUCAGUUAAACAAUCUGUUACAUUGAAAAAAAUCCAGAAAUUGGGUUAAAUUUAUGUUAUAAAACUAUUGGUAGAAUUAAGAAAAAUCUGAUAGUCAUGAUAUAAGCUUAAAUUUAUUUUUAUUGACACAGAGUAUUUAUUCUUUAAUUUCUGAUCAAUAAUUUCAUUCUUUAACCAAGAUAUAUUCCCUUACACUUUAUCAGUUACAUUUCAUUUUGUUCUCAUUUCUAAUGCGGAACUAUACUUAGGCAUGCAAAUUAAAGUGAAAAUUUCACAAUCAUCUGGUGUAUUUGGGCUGUGUAGAAACCUAAUCUAAAAAAGGAGGGGAAAGAAAAAUCAUAUUAUUUUUAUCUUAAAGCACAUUCCAGGCUAGUAUUAAGUAAUGCACUUGCUCGUUCCAACUAAAUCAAUUGUAUUUCCAAUAUUAAUUCUAACCUCUUUUCUUUACUUCGUCUUGCAAAAAUUAUUCCAGGUUUCCCUUUUAUUCUGUGUUGCAAUACUAUUUCAGAGCUACUAAAUUUAGCACCUUUUAUGCACAUUUAACUAUAAUGGGAUUUAUCUCCUUAUUAAUAAUGACAGUGAAUAUGGAUUAUAAUUGAAACUGUGGCUUCCCUUGAGUUUUUCCUCCCCCUCGAAAUUAUCUUCAUAAUACUAUUUUUUAUGGUAUAAUUUUUUCUCUUUGAUCAAAGUUUGUCAUUGAAUCUUUGAGCUAAAGAGAUCCACAUAAUCAAGCCAAUUUGAAUUAACUUGUCAAGUCUGACUGAUCGGACACACCAUAGGAAAUAACUUGCUAUAGCCUAGAUUUAAUUAUCUGCACUCCUAUUUCUCACAUGCCGUUUCAUAUUACACUUUUAUUCCAACAGAGACUCUUAUCUUGGACUACCAUGUUUAGAUACAUUUAUCAAAUAUUCUUCAUAGACUUGUUCAUUGGCUCGUGUUCUUUUAUCACAUCCCCUUGGGAGCUUAAUACCGGUCUUAAAUGCUGGGUUGAUUGAAAUGAUUAUGUAUAUUGAGCUGAAGAGUGAAUGGAUAGGGUUAUUUGAUUUUUGACCUCUCAAGCAAGUUGGUUUCCUAGACUUAAUGUAAGCGCUGUAUGAUUUUCACAUAAGGAACAACGCGUGUAAAUGAUGGAAAAUAUUUCCGUUUCAGAAAGAGGUCUCCACCAGACCCAUUAGCUAGCUUCCCAUCACUGAGAUCACUGAGAGUAUUCUAACAGAUAUUUAGCUGACAUAAGCCUCAUCUGUAAAGUGGGAACAAUAAUAGCUUUUGCUUGUCAUGUAGGAAGGGACCAUACAGAAGGAGGGAGUUUGCAUGAGGUUUGCUGGGACUUUCCUAGUUUUAAAACUGAAAGUCCUAUGUCCUGGUUACCCCCACCCUGCCCUAGUCACAGUUUUGCUAAAUGACCCCAAGUUUUCUUUCAACUUGUGUAAGGCAAGCUGGGAGGUAGAAGGACUCCCACACCUCCUAGCAGGCCAUCUCUCUUCCUCAACUACUUACAGCCUUUAUUUCCUUCCCUUGUCUACUCUCAAAAUCUGCUCUUACAGCUAUCAAUUUCUUUACAUAUAAACAAAAUUUAUGUCAGCUGAAAAAGUUACUCAUCCAAGUGCUAUUAAAAGAUACUAGGAGUUCCCAUGUUGGCUCAGUGGAAACCAAUCCAACUAGUAUCCAUGAGGCUGUGGGUUUGAUCCCUGGCCUCACUCAGUGGGUUAAGGAUCCAGUGUUGCCAUGAUCUGUGGUGUAGGUCGAAGAUGUGGCUUGGAUCUGGCAUUGCUGUGGCUGUGGUACAGGCCCCAGCAGCUAUAGCUCCAAUUUGACCCCUUAGCCUGGGAACUUCUACAUGCUGCUGGUGAGGCCCUAAAAAGAAAAAAAAAAAAAAAAGAUACCAGCUAUCAAAGCCAUAAAACAAAAUGAGGCUUCUCAAGUGUUUCCAGGCAUCAGCAUAUCUUGGGAGUCUAGUGCCCUUAAGGAACUUUACUAUGCUGAUAAGUUUAAUUCCAUCAUACAAGGAAAGAAUAAAUAUAUGAGUAUAUUAUAAAGCUGCGGUUUUUAAAAAAUCAUAGCUAAGAGCAUGUAUCUAUUAAAAAACCAAGACAAGCUAAAUAAAACCUAUACCUUAUGGUUCCUUCUUACUAAUUUUCUACUUACCUAUUCAUCUGUUUUAUUAUUUACUAAGACUCUGGAAAACAAAUAACAGCAAUAGGUAGGAUUAUUUAAUAAAAAUGUCCAAUAGAAAGACAUCUAAAUUUGAGAAAACCAUCUUUUCUUUUUGCAAAUUAUGAUUGUCAUUUUACUCUGGUUCAGAAAAUACCUGGGUUCCAAGAAAUUACAGAUGGAGAAAACUGAGGUAAGCAAAUGAAACUCCAAAUCCAGAUAUGAACCAGCUGUGGUGGGAUUUGAAUCAUGAAAGAGCAGAAGCAACCUGAUGUUUAAUGAAUGAAGAUGUAGGCUUAGAGAAAUGGUCUCCAAAAUUUGGGCCAACAAUUAAAAAAAAACAACAAACAAACUUAAACCCACCCCCAAACUACAUAUAUCUAUUUACAAGUGUGUAUGUUCCACAUACCAAUACCCUAUGUACAUGAUAAAAAUAGAUAUACAUGCUUCUCAAAGAUGAGUUGAAUGUAAGUUUUAGCAUUCCCUUCCUAAAACUCAACAGACUGUAUAUGUCCUCCUGGACUGCCUGCACCCUACUUUAAGGACCAGUGGUUUGGAGAAUGUAUAUAUUGACUGAUAUUUCAGUAUUGCCACAUUGCUUAAAUCACCUAACAACAUUGCUGCCUAUUGCAGCAGGUUGUACUAAAAUAAUUCGGGAUGGAGAUCUCGCUCUGCUGCCUCAUCUGAGCACUCUCAGCAGUAUCACUCUCCUUGAAGCUUCAUCCUGUCUCUGCCCAGCUUCCUUUACAAUUGCUUCAGUUCAUUAUUAUAUAACUGCAUAUGUCUGAACCUCCACUAUAGCUAUGUUUCUAGAAGGUUCUUAGCCUGUGUAUCAAUCCCUGGAUGCAAAUAUAUACCACAAGUGGGGGAGAUUGUUAUUUAACUCCAUAAAGUUUUAUCUUUUCUAUCUAGGCUCACAUCCAGCAGGAAUUUUUUAAAAUAUAAUGCUGUUAUGAUAAUGGCAAUCUACUUUCAGAAUUUUUAUUUUAUUCUUUGUUUAGAUUCCAAUUCUUUAAAUGAGUAACAAAUUUUCCUUUAUAUCAAUAUCGUUUUCUCUGUUUUUGAUAUACUAUCAAAGUUAUUUUAAAGUCUGUAUCUGUUAACUUUAAUAUCUGGAUCACCUGUGGAGGGCACAAUUGGAACUCCAAACAAUCAUACUCUAAAUUUGUUGUUGCAGACUGCUCUUACAUAUUAUUAAAAGAUUAUUCAAUGUUAAUAUAGUCUUCAUAAGUAUCACAUUUUAGGAGUAUCCAUUGUGGCUCAGUGGUUAAUGAACCCAACUAGUAUCCAUGAGGAUGCAGGUUUGAUCCCUGGCCUCGUGCAGUGGUUAAGGAUUCGGCAUUGCCAUGAGCUGUGGUGUAGGUCGAAGACAUGGCUCAGAUCCUGUGUUGCUGUGGCUGUGGCUUAGGCCAGCAGCUGUAACUACGAUUUGACCCCUAGC
rnacentral:lncRNA from 1 species